rnacentral:lncRNA from 1 species
GUGGAGAGCUAACAGGAACCGGAGCCGGUGGGGAGCUAACUGGAGUCACGGCUGGAGGUGGUGUAGCCAAUGGCGUCGCCACUGGAGUUGGAACAGUCUGUUUCGGUGAAGAUGCUACUGGUGUUACCGCCGGUGGUGAUGAUACGGGUGCUGGCGUUGUAGGUUUUGCAGGUGCUUUAGCAGGUGCAGCUAAUGGUACGGAAGGAGUUGUUGGAGUCGCCGGAGUUGAUGUCGGCGUCGCAGCCGGUGCUUGGCCACCGACACCGGCCACAAGGACGCAAAUCAGUGUCCAACCAAGGAUGCCAUUCCGAUCCAUUUUU